CUUGAUAAAACUUUUUGAACCUAAAUGUGUGUCAUUUUCCGAACUCGACUAAAUUCACUUAACUUGAUUUGUAUAAGUGUAAAUCAGAGUGAAGUUGUAACCUUGGCAUAAGAUGACGGUUGUUGACACUCCACAUCCAUCGUAACAUGGUUGAAGAAAAUGAAUGUGAAAUUACGGUUUUGGCCCAAACUUAUACAAGAUAAUAUAAAGUUGUAAAUGUUUCUCUUCAUUUAAGUGGGAGAAAACCCAAGGCCUCCUUUUGGGCUUUUGUUGAUUUAGGCUAUCUACAAUUUAUGUUAUUCAUUGCUUUGUUUGUUCAAGACUUUGGUUUUUAUGAUAGAACUUUGUUUCUCCAGAGGCUGAAUUUGGUUUUUAAGGUGGAUAUUUAAAAAAAAAGAAAUACUAUUGAAGGGUUUAGAGAUGCAAAAACCAAUAAACACCAUUUCAGACUUUUUUCAAAUCACUCCCGCGCUCGGCAAUGUCGGAAUACAUGUACUCUGCAUGUGUAUAAUUUCAGUGUAAAAACCGAUAUAACCCUCAUAAAAACUUCCUGAACAAAGAGUUUUUAUGCAAAAGCCGAUACAUCCAGUUCAUUUUCCAUGCAAAACCAGCUAUAUCCAUUAACUUGAAACACAGUGAAUCACUGGCCACAACUGAGCCCUGUGACUAUCGUAACCCUGCGUGAACACUUGGACAAAAUGGCAUCUCCCGCAGCUCGUGUCGAGGAUGAAGCGUCUGUUGUUUUGAACUCGUUUGGUGGUCUAGAUGAGAAUGUGAGGCGUUGUAGUCACGGUACAAAAUGAAAAGUGAAACCUAGACAGCCACAGCUAGACGAGAAAUUGCAAAGUCAAAGACGUAUGUGGGCGUGCGAUGGCAAAACACCAUCUAUCGCAUGCAACCCUAGGUCUACUGCCAAUGCCAGUUUGAGUUUCUGUCAUGCCAGCGUGCUGUCAGAAAAUGCCCUGAAAUUGAGCUGGGACAAUUUCUACGCUGCAACGGUAAAAUAUGAACAUGAUGUGAUUAUUUCACACCUUUUGGACAUUGCCACGGCCAAGAGGCCUAGGGUUGCUGUUGGAGUCAGACAAAAAUCUAGAGGGCUCUCUGUGAAGUUCAUCUGCAAAAUUUUGAAGUCGAUGGUGCUCCAUUGGUGCAGGUCUGCAAACCAACGUUCCUGUCGGUCUAGGUGAGUCAGAAGAAAUUUACAAUUCCGUUAAUUAUUAAACUUAAACUAAGUCUGCAAUCUUGUGAAAUUGAAAAAAGUUCUGAAUAGAUGGUUUUCAAUGCCAGGGUAGUCAUCAACAAAAGAUUUAAUGAUCACUAUUAUAAUCAAAUCAUUCUACAGAUCACACAAGUCACAAAAUAUUCAAAUAAAUGAAUGAAAGACACCCAAAGUGCAGAGACUUAUUUUGUUGUGUGUAAUUUACAAAUUCAAGCAAGGGAUGUGAAGUUAACUUCUUCGCAUUUGAAUCAGAACGGAACCACUAGGUUUGAUUUUUACAUUAUAUCAGAACCCACGUGUUACAGAGUUCUGAAAUAAUUUGGUUAGAGCCAAUGGAUGUGACUUACUCAACGCUUUCCUGCUUUAAAAAGUCAGGUACAGUUAGCGAUCUCUCCCAGUCAUGUUACAUCUAGUCCUUCAUGAUAGAUAUUAACAAGACUGAGUACCUUUGUUGCUCCCAGUUUGUUUAUCUAUUCUUUUUCCUUUUGAAUUGAAAAGCAUGUUCAAGCUAUUUCUUAUUUAAUCUCAUGAAUGUUCUUAUUUUUUCUUUCAGGAGUGAAAGACAGUGUCAAGCAUAGCUCAAGCCGUAUUUGACCAGGGUGCGCCGAAGAAAGAGAAUAGGGCCGGAGCAAGAGACACUCCAGAAAUGAAGGCAAGGAAGGAGAGGAUCAGACAACGCGUUGAGUCGGUCCAGUGCAGGUCCAGUCUUUACUCUGUCAAAGACGACCCGGGAAGAAAAUCUCUCCGCAUUGACCUCGACGUCUUCAAGAUGCAUAAGAUGUUCGAGCUCCAAAAUCACGAACAGGGCUCCUAUUCCCUGUACUACACUGUCUUCAGGGGAGACUUCAGACUUUGUUUUGGCCAUCCCAACAUGGACAGGUGCACUACAUGCGAGUGGUAUAAGGAGCAAGGAAAACAGGCAGAUAUUCCGACUGAGCAGAGAACUGAGUUGGCUGCAGUGUAUAUUCUGCAUCGCAGAAGAGCUCGCAAAUUCUAUAAUGAACUGAAAGUUGUAAGCGAGGACUCUUUAAGUCAAUUUGUUUUGAUAUGAUGCAGAACCAGGUGCUUCCGAAGACCCCCAUCGGUGCUGCGUACUACAGUCGGCAGCUGUACCUUUACAUCUUUGGGGUCAUAUGCCACAGGGGUAGAAACGGCCCUCAUCAGAAAGACGAUGUUUUUUUUUUUUUUACAUGGUUGGAGUGUGAGAACCACAAAGAUUCUAAUAUGAUCGUCUCAGCACUCCAUCAUUUUUUUCACUUUCAUCAGCAAGAAAUUAAAUCCAAGCAUGAACUUCGAUUAUUUAGUGACUCUGCCUAUGGGCGGAAUAAGAAUUUCAACGUAUUGUCUAUGCUCGUGGCGGACAGGAAAAAACUUUUCCCUCAAACGGAUAUAUAAUGUACACAUUUCCAAUGCAGGGUCACAGUUAUCUCCCAGCUGAUCAUGCCUUUGGGAGAGUAGCCCAGGAUGUGAAACGUUUUGAGACAAUUACCCUGCUUGACCAAUAUAUUGACAUUCUUAGAAGGCAUGGCCAGGUCUUUGAAUACGGGUGAGACUGGCAGGCUUUCAAUUUAAAAAAUGAGACCCAGCGUUUUGUGAAGCAGAAAAGGGAGUUUAGUAUUUCAACUGUUUAAAGAAUUGUUAUUGAUGGAAGUGGGGAUAAGGUGAAGGUUUCCGAUUCAUACUUUGGAGACCUUCACAUCCAUGGUGUUCUGAAGCAGGGAUGGUCGUGGUCCAACUUUAGACCAACUGUGUUGGAGAAGACAUGUUCUAUCAAAGAAGCCAAGAAAAGGGAUGUGUUCAAAUUGAGGCAAGAUAUGGGUGCAAGUGAUGCUGUCAUGGGGUGUUACCGUGACAUGAUGGCUGUUCGAACAUCAGCUGUCAGAAAUUCAGAUUCUGAUUUUGACUAAGAAAACCUGAAUGUCACUUUAAUACCUCAUGCCAGCUGUCAGAAAGUGAGUGCGCCUGUGUGAGUAGAUGUGAGUUUGUGUAUAUGUAUUAAUGUGCAUGACUUUUAUGAUGAUUGAACGUGAGAUUUUGGAAUUUCAUUUUCCAUCUUUUUGGUUUGAACUACAUGGUAUUUCACCCUUUGUUCUAAUAUGACAGUAUGUGUCUUGUAUGUUGUUGGUAUAGAGUGUUGACUUUGAUUUGUGGAGCAUUGUCUUUUAGAUGCAUUGAAUAUGGUUCGUCGACUGUAUGAUUACAAAACGCUGUGUCUCAUUUUUUUUACUCUUACCGUGUCAGUAUUUUUCACAUUUUAGCUAUACUGAUUUAGUUAAAAUUUGAUUAUAAAAUACAAACAGUGCAUUGCUUUUCUUUUAAAAUAAUAUGUGGUAAUGGACAACUCAUUUUGUAAACAUCAUACUGUCUUCAUCUGUGUCUGUUCAUGGAGACUAAUGUAAUUGUGCUCUCGUAAUGUGAAGACCCUGUACUGACCUAUCAAUUAAUAAUUUAUUAUGAAUGUUCACCUUUUCAUCUUUACAACUUCAAAUUUUCAUGUGGGAUGCUAACUUUUUGCACUUGUGUGGAAGUUUUAAGUGUUUAGCUUGAUGGUUUUUUUGUGUGCGAGUGAAUUUUGGAUAUAUCUGUUUUUGCAUAAAAAUGUUUUCCUGGAUAUCUGAUUUUGCACAAAAAUAAAAAAUAUAAUCUGCUGUAACUGCUAAAAAUAUUACUGUAGAUUUGAAUACUGACUGAUUCCUGUUUGUAAAGUACAAAGCUUAAAUCAGACAACAGAUUUGUGAAUGAAUUGAAAGCUAUGUGUGAAUAAAAUAAUCCUCUCGUUCUCAAAA